rnacentral:lncRNA from 10 species
UUUUUUUUUUAGAAUCUAUGAAGGGACAUCAUUUCUGAGCCCAUUGAGACUUGUAGUGAAAAACCAAGCAUCCCCUGAUAAAUAGGUAGUAGAAACAAACUACCUAUGAAAAUGCUUUUUGAUUUGUGGAUUUAUCUCACAGUGUUAAAUUUUUGAUUUGAUUCAACUGGUUGAAAACAUUCUUUAUGUAGAAUCUAUGAAGAGACGUUUUUGAGCUUAUCGAGAUGUAAGGUGAGAAACUGAAUAUCCCGCUAUGCAAAGUACAAACAAGCUCUCUGUGAAAAUGCUUUGUUAUAUGGGGAUUCUUCUCACUGAAUGGAUCUUGUGUUGUGAUUCACUGGGUUGGAAACACUUUUUUUUAGAAUCUAUGAAGGGACAUUUCCGAGGCCAUCGAGGCCUAUAGUGAACAACAGAAUAUUCUGUGAUAAAAACUAGAAACAACCUACCUGUGAAAACGAUUUGUGAUCUUUGGAUUCAUCUCACCACAUGGAACCUGUGUUUUGAUUCAGCUGGUUGGAAAAACUCUUUUUGUGGAAUCUACCAAAGGAUAUUUCUAAGCCCGUUGAGGCCUAUAUUAAAUUGAUUAUCUCAUGGUUGAAAGCAUUCUUUUUGUAGAAUCUAUGAAAAGACAUUUCUGAGCUUAUUCUGGUUUAUAGAGUAAAACCGAAUAUCCUGAAAUAAAAACUGGAAACUAGGUUGAAAACACAAUUUUUGAAGUAUCUAUGAUGGGACAUAUCGAAGCCCGUUGAGACUUAGUGAAAAACAGAAUAUCCCCUGACAAAAAUUAGAAACAAGCUUUCUGUGAAAAUGUUUUUUGAUGUCUGUAUUUAUCUCACUGAAUGAAAAAUGCAUUUUGAUUCAAGAUGCUGGAAACACUAUUUUUGUAGAAUCUAUGAAGGGAUAUUUCUGAACUCAUUGAAGUCUACAGUGACAAACCGACUAUCCAAUGAUAAAAACUAGAAAUACGCUGUGAAAAAGUUUUAUGAUGUGUGGAUUCUUCUCACUGAAUUAAACCUGCAUUGUAAAUCAUCAGGACUGAAACCUUCUAUUUGUAGAAUCUAUGAAGGAACAUUUAUGAGCCCAUCGAGGCCUGUAUUGAAAAACAAAGGAUCCUGUGGUAAAAACUAGAAACAACCUAAAUAUGGAAAUGCUUUGAGAAAUGUGAUUCAUCUCACAGAGAUGAAUCUUUGUAUUGAUUCAUCAGGUUGGAAACUCUCUUUUUGUGGAAAAUAAAAGGUCUAAAAAGAGACAUAUCUGAGCCCAUUGUGGCCUACAGUGAAAAACUGAAUUUCUUGAACAAACGCUGGAAACCAGCUAUGUGUGAAAAUGCUUUGUGAUGUGUGGGUUUAUCUCACAAAGUUAAACCAUUGUUUUGAUUCAACAUGUUGGAAACACUCUCUCUGUAGAAUCUAUGAAAAAACAUUUCUGAGCUCAUUGAGAAGUAUAGUGAAAAACCACAUAUCCUGAAAUAGAAACUAGAAACAAGAUACGUGUGGAAUGUUUGUGAUGUGUGGAUUCAUCUCACCAAAUGGAACCUGUAUUUUGAUUCACCCAGUUGGAAACACACUUUUUGUAGAAUCUACGAAGGGACAUUUCAGAGCCCAUUGAGGCCUAUUGUGAAAAAUCAAUUAUCCCAUGGUAAAAACUUGAAACAACCUAUCUGUGAAAAUACUUUGUGAUGUAUAGAUUCAUCUCACAAAGUUAAACCAUUGUUUUUAUUCAACACAUUGGAAACACUAUUUUUUAGAAUCUACAAAUAGAAAUUUCUUAGCUUUUUGAGACCUAUAGUAAGAAACUAAUAUCCCACAAUAAAAACUAGAGACAAGCUGUAUGUGAAAAUGUUUUGUGAUGUGUGCAUUCAUCUAACUGAAUGGCACCUGUGUUUUGAUUCACAAGGUUGGAAACACUUUUUGUAGAAUCUACAGAGGUACAUUUCUGAGCCCAUUGAGGCCUACUGUGAAAAACCAAAUAUUCUGUGAUAAAAAUUAGAAACAAGCUAUCUUUGAAAAUGCUUUGGUAUAUGUGGAUUUAUCUCACAGCAUUUAACCUAUGUUUUGAUUCAACAGGUUGGAACGACUUUUUUAGCAGAAUCUAUGACAGUACGUUUCUUUGUCCUUUUAAACCUAUCAUGAAAAACCAAAUUUCCUGUGAUAAAAACCAGAAACAGGGUUUCUGUGAAAAUGCUUUGUGAUGUGUGGAUUCAUCUCACAGACGUUAACCUUUGUUUUGUUUCAACAGGUUCAAAACACUCUUCCUGUAAAAUCUACUUAGGGACAGUCCUGAGCCCAUUGAGGUCUUUAGUAAAAAACGGAAUAUCCCAUGAUAAAAACUAGAAACAAACUAUCUGGGAAAAUGUUUGUGAUGUGUGGUUUCAUAUCACAGAGUAAAACCUUUGUUUUGAUUUAAAACGUUGAAAUCACUCUUUUUGUAGUAUCUAGAAAUGGAUAUUUCUGAACCCGUUGAUGCUUAUAGUAAAAAAUUAAAUUUUCUACAAUAUAAACUAGAAACAAACUAUCCGUGAAAACGUUUUGUAAUAUGUUAAUUCAGCUCUCAAAAUUAAACUUUUGUUUUUAUUCAACACCUUGGAAAAGCUUUUUUUUUUGUAGAAUUUACAAAGGGACGUUUCUGAGCUCAUUAAGGCUUAUAGUGAAUAACAAAAUAUCCCACCUAAAAUUUAGAAACAAGAUAUCUGUGAAAAUAAUUUCCGAUGUGUAGAUUUAAUGCACAGAGUUAAAACUGUUUUAAUUCCACAGAUUGGAAACUUUUUUUGUAGAAUCUACGAAGGGACAUUUCUGAGCCCAUUGAAACCUAUUGUGAAAAAGCUAAUAUCCCGUGAUAAAAACUAGAAAGCAGCUAUCUGUGAAAACGUUUUGCAAUGUGUGGAUUCAUAUCAAAGGCUUAAAACUUUGUUUUAAUUCAACAGGUUGGAAACUUUUUUUGUAGAAUCUAUGAAGAAACAUUUCUGAGCUCACUGAGGCAUAUUUGGAAAAAUGGGUAUCUCACAAUACAAACUGGAAACAAGCUAUCUGUGGAAACGUUUUAUGAUGUGUGGAUUCAUGUCACAGAGUUAAUCCUUUGUUUUGAUUCAACAGUUUGAAAACACUUUUUUUGUAGAAUAUACAAAAAGACAUUUCUGAGCCCUUUGAAUCCUAUAGUAAAGAAACAAAUAUCUCACGAUAAAAACUAAAAAGAAAUUUUCUGUGAAAAUGCUUUGUGAUGUGUGGAUUCAUCUCAUAGAGUUAAACCUAUGUUUUCAUUCAACACAUUGUAAACACUCUUUUUGUAGAACCUAUGAAAAGACAU